UAAAUGAACAGUCAACUCUCUCCAUCCAACACAGUGCUGUCUGGAACGCCAAUACCUGAAAAUGAAUGAAUAUUGGCCUUAAAUUCAACUCACACUUACAAUCUCAAUCACAACAACCGAAUGCACAUACACUGGGUCCCGUAACUACUGCCAUAACAUUAAUAUAACUUGCAAAAGGACUGCUAAGGUGCCAGGGGUCACCAAAUCAAAGUUCAUGAAGCGUAUAUAUUUAUAUAUGUAAGUUGAGGAUCAGGUUAGAGUUGCUCACUUCACAGUGGAGACACAAACAGAUAUCUGAGAGGACAGAAAACAACUUAUCAGUCACAUCGAAGGCCAUUGAAAUCAAUUGCCAGAG